rnacentral:rRNA from 1 species
AGAGUUUGAUCCUGGCUCAGAAUGAACGUUGGCGGCGUGGAUUAGGCAUGCAAGUCGGUCGCCCCGCAAGGGGCGAGGCGCAAGGGUGAGUAAGGCGACGGCAACCAACCCCGAGGAUGGGUAUAGCCACUCGAAAGGGUGGGUAAUCCCCAGCGAAGUUACGGGAGGGCAUCUUCCUGUAACCAAAGGUGUGAGUCCGCCUCGGGACGGGCCGUCGUGGUAUCAGCUUGUUGGCGGGGUAAUGGCCCACCAAGGCUAGAACGCCUACCGGGCGUGCGAGCGUGGCCCGGCACACUGGGACUGAGACACUGCCCAGACUCCUACGGGAGGCUGCAGUCGAGAAUCUUCGGCAAUGGGCGCAAGCCUGACCGAGCGACGCCGCGUGGAGGAUGAAGGCCUUCGGGUUGUAAA